AGAGACAGCAGUAGCCACGGUAAUACGAAGGGGGCUAGCGUUGCUCGGAAUCACUGGGCGUAAAGGGUGCGUAGGCGGGUCUUUAAGUCAGGGGUGAAAUCCUGGAGCUCAACUCCAGAACUGCCUUUGAUACUGAAGAUCUUGAGUUCGGGAGAGGUGAGUGGAACUGCGAGUGUAGAGGUGAAAUUCGUAGAUAUUCGCAAGAACACCAGUGGCGAAGGCGGCUCACUGGCCCGAUACUGACGCUGAGGCACGAAAGCGUGGGGAGCAAACAGGAUUAGAUACCCCGGUAGUCCCUGUCUCUUAUAC
rnacentral:rRNA from 1 species